rnacentral:tRNA from 1 species
GCGCCCGUGGUGAAACAGCAGACACGUCGUCCUCAAAAGACGAUGCCUCACGGCGUGCAGGUGCGAAUCCUGCCGGGCGCA